GCCAGGGUUGUGGUCAGGAUAAAAUGAGAUAAUAUUUGUAAAGUGUUUUGCAAAUCUUAAAGGUUGGAUUAGCUGAGUCAUGGAUCAAAUUGAGGUCAUUCAACCUGAUGGAACUACAGGGUGGGGGCCCUUGUUUGAAAGCAACCGAAGGGGGUCAGAAAGCUCCUAAUAUUUGUCCAGCUGAGGAUCGGAGGUCCCAUCCCGGUGGUCUAAAAACGAGCUUGUCUCUCUUGCUCUCUGGGCUUCCUGUUUGACUCUGCCCUUGGGACUCCUUCCAGAGUGCACGGGGGCAGGGAUUUCUCCCUCCUCUCCAGGAACAGUAAUGCAAAUCAACAGCACGUUCUUUCUUUGCUUGACAGUGGCAGACGUGCUUGCAGAGGCCAGGAAGUCAAGUUCAAGGACACUGUUCCUGCACCCCAGCAUCUUGUGUAAAGAAGAGGGGGUGUUGUGGAGAUUUUAACUCACUAGGCAAUGUGGUCCCAGAAUCCAGCCUUCUGGCCGGAGAAGCUUGUUCUCCUCUGGAAUAUCUGCCUUGGUGGUUUUGGUAACCUCAAGAUUAAGAGUUUCUGAGUUUGAGAAUUCAGGAGCCAAACCCUGCAGAGAAUGGAAAUUUCUGGACGCAGUCCGCUCUUGGCAGACAGGAGGGCAGUGCGCAGAAGGCUGCCCAGAGCCUGACUUACAGAGCAAAACUGGGGAGCUCAUUAGGCAAGGCCAACCUCAGCAAGUUCCAAAAUGGCCUACAACUGUCACAUUUCAUUCCAAUUCUGAUUCUGAAGCACCGGAUCAGCUGGAGUCAGACCCUGACUACAAUAGAGACUAUUGGAAUAACAACUUGGCAGCUCACAGACGACAAACUGGAGAGAGAAGAGACAAGCUACAGAGGUCAAUUAAAAUGCUACUGAAAUGGUGCUGGUAAGAGGUAAUGAGGGCCCAAAGACUACAUGAAUGGAAGGAGAAGCUGAAGAAACAGAAUUGGCGAGUUAACCCACUGGCCCUCCAUCCCCACCUAUUGUGCUCUCCCUACCAUUACCACCACUAUGUGAUUGCCAAGUGGCACCUACAGGCAGGUGAGCCCAACACUCCACAUACCGCUAGUCCUGAUGCCCACCCAGCUGGAAGGACUGUGGCAAUUGUCCAGGGAAACAACCCUUGUGGAGAUUUGACCCGGCAACUGCUUCUUCAGGUACUGUAACCAAUGCUUUUGCUUUUAUUAAUAUUCCGUGGUUUGGUCUGGUAAAAAGAAGCACCAUAUGGGGACUUUUUGGGGUUUUUGAAUUGAUGACAACCCAUAUUGUUUCUUCAACCUGGAUGUGCCUUCCAUGGUUCCAUGUUUGGGGGUACCUGGUCUACAUGCUUAUUGAAAAUAAGAGGGGCAGCUAGGUGGCACAGUGGAUAGAGCACUGGCCCUGAAGUCAGGAGGACCUGAGUUCAAAUCCG